rnacentral:lncRNA from 1 species
UUUAUUAAAUGCUGGCAGGGUACCAAGCUCAGUUGUGUUCUAUAAGCAUCAUCUCAUUUAAUUCACACAACAUUUUUAUGAGCUAUAGACUAAUAUCAUCCUGUUUUACAGGUGAGGAAAUGAUUUUAAGAUAAGCAAUACUAAUAAUCAAAAUUGUGCUUUAAAUCCCAGUUUGGUCAAAUUGAAGGUUUACUUUCCUAAACUAUACACUCUACUACCUUCCAGAUGACAUAGCUUCUAGAAUCUAUUUCUUUUGUUUCUAACUUUGCAGCCUUCCUUGGAUGAGUCACUUAACCUCUGUUUUUCAAUUUUUACGUAUAUGAAAUCUGAGUAUUAAAUUGGAUAAUUUCUUGAUUAGUACAAUUAUGUGAUUUUUGUCAAGAAAUUAGAAUUAUGCUACUGAAGUAUGGGAAAUAGAGAUGUGUAUAAUUUGCCUUUAUAUAGAUUCUAAGGUCAACUAUGGCACACAAUGUUUUUCAUACCCAUGUAUUUCUUCCCGGUAUGUACUACAGCAUUUUAUAUAGACUCUCAGUGGAUGCAUGAGUAAGGGUUGGGAUCACUGAGUUGUGUAUUUCUUCCAGAAAUAUGGAAUUCAAAAGGUCAUUAAGAAGAAAAGAAAUUCUCAAGUUCCUUCUGAAUUUCUAAUAACACGGGAAAUGAGAAUUACAGGAACAUAGCUACAAAUGAUGAGUUUGAUUUGGAAAUGUAUUCUUUGGUCAUAUAAAGAUGGGAUACAAAUACCUUGGGAACUUUCCUUUCCUGUAUUAUGCGUAAGUCUCCCCAGCACCUAUUUUCAGAUUAAAGAACUCACUUUUUAACAGCUAUGGUCUAAAAAUUAAGGUCAUCUUUUAAACACUAUUAACUGUAAAUGAAUUUUUAUUACGGAUUUUGUAAUUUUCUAACAAAAGUUACUAAAAGAAUGCUUGAAAAGAUGAUGUAAUCUUUCAUAAGCUAGUAAAAAUUUCUUUCUUCUAUUUUUAACUUUCUUCUGAUUUUUAAAAAUUGUGUUCAUGAUUGACACAUAAUACAUGUAUAAAGGAUGUUUUCAUACGUGUGAUGUUUUCAUAUGUGCAUACAUUGUAUAAAGAUCAAAUCAGGGUAGUUAUCAUGUCAAUCACCUCAAACUUUUAGCAUUUAAAGUUUCAGGUGAGAACUUCAGAGUGACAAUAGUUUUCUGUUUAUGGCUUCUUAUUACAGGGUCAUAUUCAGUACAUUAAACUUAAUAAAAACUUCGUCUGUUUAUGUGGAUUUGUGAAUAUUUUAUAUAUAUACUGCACUUCAGUAAAAUAUACUGUAUGUUGACCAAAAUGAAUUUGGUUUAUUAGGAGAGGAUAGCACCAUUGCAUGCAAAUAUUUUGCAUAAUUUAUUCAUGAUUCAUUGUUGGUCUAUUAGAAUACUCCAUAAUGAUUGAAGAUGCCAACUCACAUUAAAAAUAAGCUUACAAGAUCCUGGUUAAUAAGCAGUAAGUCCAAUGUAUUAAUUGACAAUGAAGAUCAUUCUUUUCUAUUAACUACAAUGUUCAGAGUCCCUAUUUAGGAUAUACUUUUCAUGAUCACUAAAUUAAUAAAUGUAAGGUUGCUUAGUAACUACUGUAGGAUACAAGUAGAGGAAGGUAAAUUAUUACAGGGGAUUUUUCAUUUAGACCAUGAUGACACUCAAUGAUAUAUUUCUUUUUGUAAACCAAGGUCUUGUUGCUAAGGGCUGUGUACUGCCCAUCAGAUUUGGUGUCUUUCAGUCUGAACUAUUUCAGAGCAACCGUGACACCUUGCAGCUGUUGAGCUUCCCUUUUCUAACUUCUAGGCUGUGUUUUUUUUUUCUUAUUUAUGUACGUUUUCUUUAGAUAGAAUGCAAUGUAGAUAAUGAGGUUUCAAAUUACUAAAAAUGCAUUUUAACUCUGCUUACAUGAGAUAACACUUGGGAUAUUUUGAUAAUUUUAUUGGGGCUUCACAAUUUUUUGGCCAUCCACAUACAUUGACAAUCACUUUAUUUACUACAUGUGUUAUUAACCAUUUCGUUUGUGCACAAUUUUGUUCAGAGGGUCAUUUAAGCUUCAAGUUAUUUGAGGUAACUUUAUUGUCUCACUCAUGUACCUUCUACAUUAUUCAGAUAAUUUAUGAACUUGUUUUCGUGUGUUUAAAACAAUUUUUAAAAUGUUAGGUUUAAAAGAUUGAAAAAAAAAUAUGUGAUAAUUCAUUACCCUUUCUACCUGCAUCCAGCUAUAUGAACAUGAAUCAGUUCAGAAAGAUCAGAAUAUAUCCUCCUUUCAGAGCACAGUUAUUCUUGAAAUCUAUCCCAUUUUUUGACAAGUCUAUGAACACAAUGGCAUCAUUAGCAAUGAUUGCAGAGUCAGAACAAAAAUUAGUAUUUUUGUUUGGAGAAUCUCAGAGUUUUCAAUUAGUUUGGAAAGACAUAUAAUUUUCUGACUAUUCCUUUCCUGCUAUUCACCAUCCAUUACUGACAUAAGUCAAGCAACCAUUGGGAGUCAGAAAAAAACAGAAUAAAUUUUUAUGCUCGUGCAUCAGCAUUUUCUAAAUAUCUCCCAGAAGGCAUGCAUUCCUUCAGCCUCACUUGUAGGCUGGAGAAUAGACACACAUGCAUGUAACUCAUACAUUUCAAAAAGAGGGACAGGACUUGUUUUGAUUUCACUGAGCUACUUAUACAAGUCAGUGGUCCAAGUCAACAGGGUAAUAGUAUAAUUUUCAUGCACAAUGAACCCUCAACAGUUUUUAUAAGACAAAACUAGAGCAGCUCAUUAAAAUGGCAUUGAGGGUAAAAUCAGAAAGACAAAAUGCCAGCUACUAAUGGUUGAGGGUAGGCAAUAAGGCAGGAGGAAAACAUAUCAAUUAAUACUUUGAAACAAUCUCACCACAGUGUAUCCUUUUCAGACUUUUACGUUUGUCUCUGCCAAUAAGUUUGAUACUUGGUUAAUUACUAUCUUCUGCAUUAAUUGCUAUGUUUAUUAGUAUUUUCUCAUUUUUCUAAGAGUUAUGUCAGAACAUUGAGACUGGAAAGUGUUGUUCACUCUGGGUUUUUUUGUUUUGUUUUGUUUUGUUUUGAGAUGGAGUCUUGCUCUGUCGCUCAGGCUGGGGUGCAGUGACAUGAUCUUGGCUCACUGCAGCCUCCGCCUCCUUGGCUUAAGCAAUCCGUCCUCCUCAGCCUCCCAAGUAGCUGGGAUUACAGGUGCACACCACCAUGCCAAAUUUUUGUAUUUUUUUGUAGAGACAGGGUUUAACCAUGUUGCUUAGGCUUGUCUGAAACUCCUGGGCUCCAGCAAUUUGACUACCUCUGCCUCCCAAAGUGCUGGGAUUGGAGGCAUGAGCCACUGCACUCAGCCCACUCUGUUUUUGAAUCUGCUAUGUUUCUUGACAGUCUCAGGCACCUUGACUAGUCAAUUAAUCACUACUUGUUUAAAUUUUAGUUUAUUGAAUGAGGAAUAUUUGCCAGUAGGAACAAGCAAUAGAAAAUUUUAUGAUAUAGCAAAAUAUAAUAUUAUGAUCAAAGAAUCUAAGAGAAUAGAGAUGAUAAUGUAAAAUUUACAGCAAUUUUUCUUGCUUUAUCUUUUCAGAGCUAUUCAGAAAUUUAAGAGAUGUAUUGUCUCCUGCCCUCAUACCCUAUUUUAUUGCAGUAGAACUGAGGCUUAAUUAUGUAAAAUGACUUCCCGGGGUCAAAAGUUCAUUUAUUACCGAGCUGAACGUAGAAUCUAUUGAUAUUACUAAAAUUUGUUAUGUAAGGUAUUGUUGACAUCUGUGUUGUUCUUAUAUUGCAUGUAAAUCUUUAUAGAACUUUAUAGCAGCACGAUUUGCAAUUGUAACAAUGUGGAACCAGCCCAAAUGCCCAUCAAUCAAGAAGUGGGUAAAGAAACUGUGGUAUAUAUAUAUAUGAUGGAAUACUACUCAGCCAUAAAAAUGAAUGAAUUAAUGGCAUUCACAACAACCUGUGUGAAACUGGAGACUAUUAUUCUAAGUGAAGUAACUCAGGAAUGGAAAACCAAACAUCAUAUUUUCUCACUUAUAAGUGGGAGCUAAGCUAUGAGGAUGCAAAGGCAUAACAAUGAUGCAAUGGACUUUGGGGACUCUGGGAAAGGGUGGGAAGCGGGUGAGAGAUAAAAGACUACAAACUGGG